rnacentral:sRNA from 1 species
GUAUUUUUUGUUAAUAAAAUUAAGUAUCAAAUUACUUUUGGUGAGGAAUGGGCAACUGUAUUGUACUGCUGAUAAUUCGCAGUCAGGAAAAAUGUUGUUUUCCUUCUCAUAACAACACUGUUAAGCCAUGACUUCAGUUUAUAGUACUUACUUUCACAUUUUUCUUGAGCCAAGUAUAGAAUGCUAUUAAAUUAAAUUUUAUUGGUUUUAAAUUAUAGUUUUAGCCUGUUUCAAUCUUUGUGAAAGCUAAUUCUAUCACUCAACAUAAUUAAGUUAUUCUCCUCUUGGGUUCAUGCCACCCAAAAUGAUGAGCUAGCUUUCGACAACUGAGUCUUGGUAAUUUACAAAACUGUUCAGAAAGAUGAACCAAAAUUCGAAUGGCUUGCUGUGUUCUGUAUAAAUUUAUAAUCGAAAGUCUGAUCAUGGCUACAGGUUUUUUUUUUUUUAAUUUGUUCUGUUUUUCAACAAACAAUAUACUUAUUUGCAAUUAAAUGAAAAUAAAGCAUUGAAUUCUGAAGUUUUAGAGAACGACCUUAGAAAUUUUUAGUGGUUGUCAGCCUCCUAUUAAAAUCAUCUGGGAACUAUUAAAAGCAUUUAAUGUUGUGACCCUACCUAGACCUAUUAAAUUCCAUUCUCUAGGGUGAAGCCAGGCCAUCAGUUAUUUUAAAAGUUCUCCAAGUGCUUCUAAUGUGCAGCACAGGUUGGGAGAAUCUGAUCUAGCUUAGCACUUAAAGGUUAUAGUGCUACCACUACAUAACACUUCUAUACUGAGUUUACUGUAGUAUAUUAAUGGAACUAUCAUAAGUGGAAAAUGUCUGAUCAAUCAUUAAAUAGCAAUCUAAGUGAAAUCUAUAACUAAAAUUUCUAUUUGGAAAGACAAAAAGAAAAAAAAACUUCUCUUUGAGGGUAUGCUAUACCCAGAGACUUGGCUAGUGCUAAGGAGGGCAUGCAUGGUAGACUUCCCGAGGUCACACAAAGAACAAGCAGCUCAUGCUUGGUUCUACCCAAUAGUCUGAGUCCCCUCAGUCAUUCUGUUUUAGCCUCUAAACCACUAGGACGUGAUUUGAGAAAUUUCAUGAAGCCUCAAGAUGUUCUUUCAGGUUAUUUGUACAAUGAGGAGGAAAAUAUCUAUAGUUCAACCUCUUUCCCAUGUUCAUGACAGAUCACCUGGCCUGUGCUUGAGUAUUUUACAGAUUGUUCAUCUGUGGCUGAAAAGCUCUAAUCAAAAUGCUCUUACUUUUAUUGAGCUGAUAAAGUUGCCAUCCUAACUUCUAUCCAUUGGUUCUGGCUCUGCCUCCUGGAGGAACACAGACUAUGUUGAUUGUCUUUUCCCUGUGUUAGCAAUGCAGAUGGAUUGUAAUUUUCCUAAAUCUGCUCUUCAAGAAAAGAUUUCAGGUUUUCAAAACCAUAUCAUCAUCCUGUGCUCAGUGACACCUGUUUCUCUCCUUUGUCAACAUCACCUUUCACAAUGUGUCACCUGGAUAGCAGAUUGAACAACCUGGCUAUAAUAGUGGUUCUGAUAGCCUCCUUAGAUCUCAUCAUUGUAUUCUAGAAAUGAAGCCCAACAUUUUAUCAAUUUUUACCGCAGUCAUACUACAUUGAUUUAAAAGAUCAAUGAUUUUCCAGCCAGGCUGGACAUUAAAAUCACUUGAGAGAGCCUUGAAAAAAUAUAGCGAUAUCCUGUUUUACCCUUGAUCAAUUAAAUCAGAAUCUCUGGGGGUAAGGCCCAGGUACAGUGAUUUUUAAAAGUACUUCAAUGACCCUAAUAUGCAUCUAAGUGAGUUCUAUCCUUAAAUGUGGUUUCUCUCAACUUAUAGGUAAAUACAAUAUUUUGUUGUUGUUUGAAUGUAAAUAUCAGGCUUUUGAUCUGUUCUAGUUUAAUUUUCUGAUAAUAGUAGUCCCAGAAUUUUCAAAUGCAAUUCUUUAAGAUUGCAAUAAAGUUAGAACACUUACGUUACUGUUUAUGUCCACAAAAUGUUUAGAAAAGUUUGAAAAGGAUUUUGAAAAAGUAAAGAUUAACAGUGCUAAUAUUUCUUAUGUUGUUGGGUUUAUGCAUCAUAUAAUUUGGUUAAUAUGUAUCAUAAAUGAAAGUAUUUUAAGAUCACA